CCCUUAGGUGUCCUGGGCCGCACGCGUGCUACACUGACACUUACACCGAGUUUUUCCAAUGCCGAAAGGCCAUUGGUAAUCAGCAAUAAGUGUCGUGAUGGGGAUAGAUCUUUGGAAUUAUUGAUCUUGAACGAGGAAUGCCUAGUAAUCGUAGGUCAUCAGCCUGCGAUGAUUACGUCCCUGCCCUUUGUACACACCGCCCGUCGCUCCUACCGAUUUCGAGUGGUUCGGUGAACCUUUCGGACCGGCAAUGCCUCGUGUUGCGCCGGAAAGUCAAGUAAACCAUNUNACUUAUNGGAAGGAGAANUCGUANCA
rnacentral:rRNA from 1 species